AUAGUGACCUAUACAGACCUGUAGAACCCAUAGAGCCCCACAGAGACCCCAUAGAGCCCCAUAGGGACCCCAUAGAGCCCCUUAGGGACCCCAUAGAGCCCCUUAGGGACCCCAUAGGGACCCCAUAGCGCCCCACAAGCGGGCCCCACCUGCACGGGGGGGUCGGCGUGGUGGAUGUUGUCCUGGAGGUGGGACAUGGCCCCCAUAGGGACCCAUAGGGACCCCACAGAGCCCCAUAGGGACCCCAUAGAGCCCCAUAGAGACCCCAUAGAGCCCCAUAGGGACCCCAUAGAGACCUGUAGACCCCAUAGAGCCCCAUAGGGACCCCUUGUGGCCACCCAUAGCCCCCCCAGAGCCCCUUAGGGACCCCAUAGGGACCCCGUACCACCCCCUAGCGCCCCAUAGAGCCCCCCAGAUCCUGCCCCACCUGCACGGGGGGGUCGGCGUGGUGGAUGUUGUCCUGGAGGUGGGACAUGAGCAUGAGGUCGCGGGCCUGGAACCAGCGCGAGUGCAGCGCGUGGUGGUAGAUGUGGCAGAGGAUGGCGCAGGUGCGGAUGCGGUCGGUGCGGUCCUUGGCGUAGAUGAACUUGCAGAGCCGCUCCAUCAGGGCCGCCGAGUCUUCUUCCUCUUCCUCUUCCUCUUCCUCCUCUUUCUCCCUCUUGUCUGUCUUCUCUUCCUCCCCCUUCUCGCCGUCCUGCUCCUUCUCGUCUUUCUCCUGCCCUUCCUCCUUGCCCCCCUCUUGCUUCUCCGCAUCGGGGCGGGGAGC
rnacentral:lncRNA from 1 species